rnacentral:lncRNA from 1 species
ACAAGGAGUACUAUUACGUCGCAUAUAUUACGUACGCAUUGUUCAGUUACAUUAUGCUAUGGUCGAGCAUACUCAUGACGUACUGAACACAGAUAUUCGUAGUUUUUAAAGAUCUACUUAAAAUCUAAGAAGAGGAACAAUACACCGAUUAUCAUGCAAAAAUGUGCACCGAGUAGGAAUAAUCUGAAUUAAUUUUGAAAUAGAUACAUACAUGUUACAAUUCCAAUUUUCUUGCACCGCUAUCCAAUUAUUUUUGUGAUCUCGAUAGAGCAAUUACGCUGACGCUAUUGGACAACUUGGAUCAAGAAAAUUUGAUUCAACUGAAACUACCCGUAAAAUGGAACCGACCUAAAGAUUUCAGACCAAAAAGUGCCAGUAGAACACGUAAAAGAAAUAUUCAUGUACGUAUGAACACCGCCACUACAUAAAAUGUUAAAGCAACUACAUUUUACAGCAUAUUCUUCAUUGUAGUGGUUUAUAACAAUGGACGUAAAACCUAUUUUAGUAAUAUUCUUGAACGGAUUUUGUUAAUAAAAUGCAAAUUUAACAAAAUAUUUUUUACAGUGUACUGGGCCUAGAAAGGCUUGGAAUAUUAUUGUCAACGAAUUGCUUCUAUCAAAAUCAA